AAUAUUGGACAAUGGGCGAAAGCCUGAUCCAGCAAUGCCGCGUGCGUGAUGAAGGCCUUCGGGUUGUAAAGCGCUUUCACCCACGACGAUGAUGACGGUAGUGGGAGAAGAAGCCCCGGCUAACUCCGUGCCAGCAGCCGCGGUAAUACAGAGGGGGCUAGCGUUGUUCGGAAUUACUGGGCGUAAAGGGUGCGUAGGCGGCCUAUCAAGUCGGGCGUGAAAGCCCCGGGCUCAACCCGGGAUGUGCGUCCGAGACUGGUAGGCUUGAGUUCGGGAGAGGUGAGUGGAAUUCCCAGUGUAGAGGUGAAAUUCGUAGAUAUUGGGAAGAACACCGGUGGCGAAGGCGGCUCACUGGACCGACACUGACGCUGAGGCACGAAAGCGUGGGGAGCAAAC
rnacentral:rRNA from 1 species